GACGAACGCUGGCGGCGUGCUUAACACAUGCAAGUCGAACGAUGAACCCGGAGCUUGCUCCGGUGGAUUAGUGGCGAACGGGUGAGUAACACGUGAGUAACCUGCCCUUGACUCUGGGAUAACUGCGGGAAACUGUAGCUAAUACCGGAUACGACCCUCGGCGGCAUCGCCAGGGGGUGGAAAGAAUUUUGGUCAAGGAUGGACUCGCGGUCUAUCAGCUAGUUGGUGAGGUAACGGCUCACCAAGGCGACGACGGGUAGCCGGCCUGCGAGGGGGACCAGCCACAUGGGAACUGAGACACGGCACAGACUCCUACGGGUGGCAGCAGUGGGGAAUAGUGCACGAUGGUCGAAAGCCUGACGAAGCAACGCCGCGUGACGGAUGACGGCCUCCGGGUUGUAAACCUCUUUUGGUAGGGAAGAAGAGAAGGUGACGGUACCUGCAGAAAAAGCGCCGGCUAACUGCGUGCCAGACGCCGCGGUAACAC
rnacentral:rRNA from 1 species